rnacentral:rRNA from 1 species
UACAGAGGGUGCAAGCGUUGUUCGGAAUUAUUGGGCGUAAAGGGUGCGUAGGCGGUUUGCUAAGUUUGAUGUGAAAGCCCGGGGCUCAACCCUGGAAUUGCAUUGAAUACUGGCGGACUAGAGUACUGGAGAGGAAACUGGAAUUUACGGUGUAGCAGUGAAAUGCGUAGAGAUCGUAAGGAAGACCAGUGGCGAAGGCGAGUUUCUGGACAGUUACUGACGCUGAGGCACGAAGGCCAGGGGAGCAAACGGG